GGGAAGUAUCCGAACCUCGGGGAACUCUGAACUAGACCUCCCGGAGCACAGUUUUCUUCGAAAUUAGAUGGUCUCGGGGUCGGACCCCGAGACGAUUGUACAGAAUACAUAUCUGCAGGACCAAAAUUGGAUAAUCUUCCUCCAGGAAAUCCCAUCAUUGAGUAAAAAUCAUUAUGAUUAAAAUUAGACCCUCGAGGAGUCGGAUUUCUCGAAGAACUGAGACUGUAAAUCUCAGCUCCGGUGAGAUUCGACGGCCGAUGAUCC
rnacentral:misc_RNA from 1 species